CCUCGCCUCCCCAGUAGUGAUCGCAAGAUGGCAGAGUUGCGAGUGUAAGACCGAAGGGAGAGGAUUUCCCCUUUUUAUCCGGCUGUGCGUCCUUCUAUCUACAGGACCUCCUGAGGGAUGCAAGCAAGGAGAUCCCCCUGAAAGAGCGAGAGACCUGACGUGUGGAGCUGGAGCUUCUUUGAGGGUGUAGCGAGCCAGCAGAGAACCCCAGUUUUGAAAUUCCACCGAAAAGAGAAACGAGAAAAGUCCUCUCGACGACAUCCUCCUCUCUGGAUAUGUGAUAGCAUUGUGUGCGACUGAAAGUGAUAACCGGGCUCAAAUUUGCUUGUUGUUGCUAGUUUUGUUAUUCUAAAAGUAAAUAUUAUUAUUAGUAUUUCUAAUUUACCUACGAAUCAAAAGUGAAUACAAAAAAAGGGAAAUCAUACAGUCGUACUAGCUAUGACUACAUGCCACCCCCCGAGGCGUCAGACGUGGCUGCACUACUCGGCAGGACAGACCUAGUGAAUCGUUGCUAGGCCCCAGGGACAAGUUCUCAAUUGGCCUGUGGCUUAGGUUUGAUGGUGAACAUUGUUGGUGUCCGUACGUUGGUCCCCCCCACUGUGGGCGGCCCCCCCCUUACCGAGACCAAGAUGACGGCACGGGCCAUUCUGCAGUGUCGACCCAAUUCGCACCCCUUCCCACAGGACGUGGAGGAUGGGGAAAGGGAUGCAUUGUACGCCAUGCAAGAGAGAACGUUAGUCCUUGACCAACCGGUGAAGAUUGGACGAUCGGUGGCCCGCAACCGGCCAGCAACCAACAAUGCCAUCUUCGACUGCAAGGUGCUCUCCAGGAACCAUGCCGUGCUCUGGUAUGAGAAUGGGAAGUUCUACCUGCAAGACACAAAGAGCAGCAAUGGCACAUUUGUCAACAACCAGAGGCUUAGCAAAGGUUCUGAGGAGUCUGCCCCAAGAGAAGUCUGCUCGGGGGAUAUUGUACAGUUCGGUGUUGACGUUAUGGAGAACUCUAGGAAGGUGACACAUGGAUGCAUAGUUGCAACCCUGAAACUAUAUAUGCCAGAUGGUCAGGAGGCUAAGGCCAGUCCUUCAACGGCUGUAGGUGGAGCAGUCACCAGUGUCUCAGCACAGGAACUGUACCAAUUACGAACGUAUCUCCAAGAAGCAACUCACCGUGAACAACAGAUUGAGACAAAAUUGGCUACCUUGCAACGAUUGGUGUCUUCUACUCAGGAAGCUGCUACACAGAGUUGGAAUGCCAUGAUUGAUGAAGAUCGGUUACUGCAACGACUAGAAACCUUAGAAGCUCAACUUACCACAUACUCCAAGAAUUACCCUGAAGAUAGUGUUAGGGAAGAAAUGCGACGAUUACUGGACGAGAAGGACCAGUAUGAGACAACUGCCAAAGAAUCAUUACGACGGGUUUUGCAGGAGAAGUUGGACGCAGUCACCAAGUUGGCAGACUUAGAAAGGACAUUAAGUACAUCUGAGGACGAAUUGAGCCACAUGAAAGACUUAUGUGAGACAACGCAAAAGGAGCUUCAGGAACUGUUGGAGAAGCAGACGACCCAAAACGAGCAGAUCGCCCAGCUUACCGAAAAACUAAAGGCAGCUGAAGAUCAGUUGAAGGAUGUGGAAGAGAAUUUUGAACAAGAGAAGAAGGAAUUGGAAAAUAAAUUGCUAGAAAAGAAUAAUGAUGAAAACAAAUUAUUAGCUAGAAUAGAAAGUUUAACAGCGGAAAGUGACUUUACGAAAGAGCAAUUAAGUGCCAUGAAAGCUAAAUAUGAAAAUAUUAAGAAUGGUGAAAUAAGUGGACUUAUUAAGCCUGUAAAGGAUUCCUCAGGUCUAGACAAUAUAAGCAUUGAGUCAACUGAUGUGAAACAAGCUCUCGAGACUUCCCAGAGGGAGAUCUUCACCCUCAAGGACCGACUCCAAAUUGCUCAGGAUGAACUCAGGCAAACGGAAGCAAAUGUAUCGCAGCUCAAACAUGAGGCAGAGCUGGCGGACAGUGCAGAGGUUGGAUGCUUGAGCACGCGUGCUCGCCUCCAGGAGGAGCUCUCGGAAAACAAGGCAAAAAGCGCAGCAAGCACAGCCCUGACUGAACACCUCCAGACCCAGAUUGUUGCCCUGGAAGAUCGCUUGCGGAUGUAUGAGGGAGAGUCACACAAGGUCAAGAUUUAUGAUGAUAUCUACGAAGAUACGUUAGUGAGGAAAAAGAAGAAUAAAAACAAAUUGAAUGAGGAUGAUGGAGACGACACCAAAGACAAGGAGUCCAACGACAUUAGUGAGAUUACGCAGGAUGCUGACACUACCCUCACCAUCAUCCCUACUAAGGAAUCUUGCAAGGAAUCAAAUGUGAAUGGCACAGUUGAGGAGGAAGAAGAGAAAGAAGAGGAAAGCAAGGAAGGAAUCAUCCAAGAAUCACUACUGCGCUCGGACAUCCUCAGACUUCAAGCACUUCUUGAUGCAAGUCGAGUCACACAAGAAGGAAGUGAUAAAGAAGCAGCUCGCAUCAGAGAGGAAUUAGCCCAGGCCUCAACUGCAGCCAUAACUGCAUCCCAUGAGGCAUCCAACCUUCGACAACAGUUGGCAGCAAGUGAGGCUUUGAUGAGUGAGAAAGUGAAGAUGGUAGCAUCACUACAGAACCAAGUAAGUCGUAUGGAGGAUUCAGCUCAGGAGGUUCAGGCUCACCUCUCUACUCUCACAGCAAAGCUAAAAGAAGAACAGGAUAAAGUUCAGGCUGCCCAGGAAGAAGCCCACCUUCUUCGAAAAAAAUUGAACAAAGCCGAAGAGCUAGCCAGUCUUACCGUCCAAGAGGCAGAGUCGCUGAAGGUUCGGAUAAUGGGGCUGGAAGAGAGGAUGAGCCAGUCCACUCCAACAACCCCCCUCAUCAUCCCCCCUUCUCCGCGAGCUUCUGGCCUCCCAAGCGACGUAUCACGAGCCGAAACACUUACGGAAAGCGACGGCCAACAGGGCCCCACUGAGGAACCGGCCGAAGCCACCGAGGUAUUGGAGAGGAGCGACAUCCCUAAUGGCCAUCCCAGUCAGGCUGCUCCUGUUGUUGGAACAGAAACAAAAGAGCAGGAAAUAAACACAUUAAAAGACAUGGUUAAGAAACUGCAGGAGGAGCUUUCCCAGACACAGCAACAGUGCACCACGUUGCAGGAGCGAGAGAAGACACUGCAACAGGCACUGGAGGGAGAGACUGGGAAGAGUGCAGAUGACUCCAGACCUAACCGUGUGGAUGGAGUUGUCACACCUACCCUGAAUGAUGGACCACUAAUAGCAGAGAAACUGGAGAGCCUCCGAGAGGAGUUAGAAUCCCUAAAGGAGGAACGCGAUCAUUUAAGAGACAAGCUUGGGGGGGUGGAUGAGGAUUACCAACUCCUCGCUCUGCAAAAUAAAACGACGAUCCCAACCUGGGUCAUGGUAGUUAUGGUGAUGGCUCUGGCUCUCGGAUCUGAAUUAAUUCCCAACAUUAUAUAAUAAACUUGUAUAAAUGUAUGCAUAUAUAAAGAAGAAAAAGAAUCUGUAUAUAUAUAUAUGACAAUAAGGAAAAAAAAAAAAGAGUUAAAAAAGAUAUGCCCAGUAUCCUUGUAAUAUUAUUGCAGAUAUUGUUUGCAUUGAGUCAUGUUAUAGAUUAUUUAGUAAUGUUGAUGUAAAGAUAUGGGAUAAUCAAUUGUUGAUAUGUUGCACAACGUAUGUGCCAAUUUUUCUUCUGAUAUCUCAAAUUAUGUAUAGUAAAAACUUUGUAUUUAGAUUGUACAGCUCCUGAAUAUGUUGAUAGUCUAUAGGCCUAGUAUACAUUUGAUUGUUAUAUAUUAUUGCAUAAUGACCCUAUAUUGCAUCUAUGCAAUGUAAAUAUGUAAAUACAUUUUAGUUAAUAAGUAAGAAUGCAUAAAGAAAAAAAAAAAAGAGAAAAAAAGACUAGUCUAAAGAAACAACAUCCAAGUUUGAUGUAUAGAAAAACUCCAAUCAUGAGACAAAAGAACGUUAAGUAUGAGCCAGUCCCAGAAGCCCUGUGAUAUUAGCCAUUGUAAAGCCCUGCAGAAAGGUCUUAGAAGGCCCAUGGGAUAAGGCUGCUGCUGCCUCGGCCCCACCACAAAGCAGACCAAAAGGCUGUGGCGCUAUCCAUGGUGCCGCUGUGCAUCUUGAUCUUGGGCUUCAUCACUGCGUUCUAUGACACCCUCUCUGCCUUGACCGGCACGACAGAGUUCAACCCGCCCUCUUAAAGACACUCUUGCAGUCUAUCGAGCACCGUUCUUUGGUUUGUUAUGGACGCUAUGCCAGAACUAUGGAUAGAACCUGUUACUUUAUUGUCCCUGAUGAUGUAUCCCAUAGCCAUUAAAAAAUAAUAAUAAUAAUAAUGAAAACUUCACCCUCUCACUCAAUCAUGGUCACCAUCUAAACCAUUAGUAAAUGCCACAUGGGAUACUGACACCUGUAAUAAACCAGUGAAGAAAAUGUGUAUCCUGAAGGCAUGACUGUUUGUGCAUCCUAAAGGCAAAGUUCUGCUGGAUCUGCUUCCUCAGGGAACUGAGAGUCAAGAGUUUAAUGUUUAAAAUCAUGUGCUAUUGAACGAUUGUACAGCUCAGAUGAUGUACAAUUCCUCCCCCCUUCCCCCAUUAAGAAUAUUUCCCCAAGUAAUCAGAGGUUUUCCUUACAUUUACUCCUCCCCAAAACUAGCAAGAUUUCAAGAUGAAUGGAUAAAUUGAAAGAUUGUGGCCACUUUUACCAGUGACAGGAUGAACAUAAACUGCAACAGUAGUGUGUCAGGUAAACUUUGAUGGACUUUGCUGCCAUCAAAUAAAGCACAAGCUAUAUAUAUAGAACCUGUGGUUCUUUUUCCUUCUUGUAUCUUAAAUGUCUUUGUAUAUGCACACAAAAUUGUACUGUUGGUUGUAGACAUUGGCUUGUAAGUCUUAAAUUCUUCUGCCAGCAUUUUAACUUUUAGAGAAUUGAUGAUCAAGUCUUUCCUUGAUUAGUGUUUUUUUUUUUUUUUUUUUUGUAUACCAGAUUAACCAAAUAAAAAAUAAGGUGUAUAUCAAGUUUCAACAGUACCAUUGCUGAAGAAAGUACUUGUACAUUUUUUCAUUGAAAUGGAUAUAUUGUUUUUAACAGAUUGUUGUAUUAUUUCAGCAAGGAAGCUUAGAAUUUCAUUCUUUCCUUACCAAAUUUGUGAGUAGAAAGCAUUUGGUACCAUUUUGAAAUUGCUUUUCAUGUUAUGGAAUACUUUGACACCCAACUUGGAGUGCAAGAGAUAGUUUUAUAUUCUUUUUUGGGGGUACACUGUCUCUCUUUCUAAGAAUUAAAUGGAAUACUAAACUUAGUUCUCCUUCCUUAUUUGACUUAUUUUGUAAAGACAGUUUUAAAAAUUAUUUAAGAAUGUUUUUUUUCUUUUUAAUAAAUGUGAGGUGUAGCCAAUAUGUUGUUGUACCUGUUAUUUAUCUGUGAUAAGAAGUGGUUAUCAUUAUUGUACCCGUGUAUAAUUUUUUUCCUUAUCAUUUAUAACUAAUCUUCGAAUCUUUAUUGCUUUUUAGCAUAUUGGUUACACCAUUAUGUUUUAUUAAUAAAUCUUUGAAAGGCUAAAGUUUUAACUAAAAGGAAAGUAAUUAUAAACAGGGUAGUUAUUAUACUUCCAGAUUAUCAUGUUGAAGCAAAGGUUGAAAGUGUUGAAACAAGCACAGAGACUGUAGUUUGUGGUGUGCCCAAUGCUAUAAAGUGUGAAGAUAUCCUACCUGUGGCAAAUUUCUCCAAAUACACGUGAAAAAAGAUGCCGAAAAAUUGUGAAGAAUGUCUUUUUUGUGAGUGCGUGCUUCGUCAGGCUCAAAAAAUGACAAUUGUGUCACCAAGAAGGGAAGAAAGAAUGAAUUGUGUAUAUACCGCAGCUGCCAAAUUCCCUGACACAGGUCUGACCUUUUUACAAGGCCCCCCCCUAGUCACCAGUCCGGUGUUUUUAUUCGCCGACCACCCCAGACCUCUGAUGAAAGUCAUGUACAGAAAAAAUCGUCGGAAACCUCAUGUACAUAGGCUGACUACACGUCAACCGAGACCGACUGUGUAUAAAGACUGAGUUGUAUACUGCCAUUAUUCACUAGUACAUGUAGGGAAUUUACUCUUAGAUAUUUAUGUUUGUUUGAUAUGAGAUCAUGUUAACUAUUGUAGUUCUUGUUUCAUUGAUUUUAAAAGGAUGUUAAUUACAUGUUAAGCCUAACAAGCUUUAUACAUGAUUCCCUUUCCUGAGUUUUCUUCAUGCUUUGUACUUCAGUUCUUGAAGUAAAAGUUUCUAUGGUAAACAAAAAAUGUUCUUGAAAUCUGUUAUACAAGUCACAAUUUUGUGUCCCACUUAGCACAUUUUUUGUAGGUGUCAUAUAUAUAUAAAUAUAUAAAUAUAUAUCUAUAUAUAAUAUUCAAUUUUAUAUGAAUCACAUGUACAAACAAAGCCAAGCACACAGAGGCUACCGCAAACUGGCCGAGUUCAUAUAGAAUUGGAAUAUGUUUAGGUAGAACACACUACAUCCAUUAUACUUUCCUAGUGAGGUUGUUUAUGUAAUUUUUUAGUAAAUGUCAUCAUACCCCCUAGUUUUGUGGAUGUUCUCAAAUUGUACUGACCAUUUUUUUGUCCUUUUAGCUUCUAAAGGGAAAAAAGAGCAAGUCACAAACAUGUCUGGAUAUUCAGUUCUUUAUGAAUACUGUCAGUUAUUAGGUACUCUGGCCAGGCACCAAUGCUCAUGAAGUGCUGCGCUUAGGGUGUCAGUCAGUAAACAAAAAUGAAAAAAAGGACAUGUUCUCAAGCUUCCAAAUACAAAUAUUCAGCAUC